rnacentral:rRNA from 1 species
UACAGAGGUCUCAAGCGUUGUUCGGAUUCAUUGGGCGUAAAGGGUGCGUAGGUGGCGAGGUUAGUCAGGUGUGAAAUCUCGGGGCUCAACCCCGAAACUGCACUUGAUACUGCCGUGCUUGAGGACUGGAGAGGAGACUGGAAUUUACGGUGUAGCAGUGAAAUGCGUAGAGAUCGUAAGGAAGACCAGUGGCGAAGGCGGGUCUCUGGACAGUUCCUGACACUGAGGCACGAAGGCCAGGGGAGCAAACGGG